AAUAGCAUUGUGUGCUUAAAUAUGAGUAUUUACAUUAUAGAGAUAUCAGUGAAGAGUUAAUGGAGAGAUGUCUUUAUACUGGUACAUGUACACCACCUGAUCUUGUCAUUAGAACAUCAGGAGAAGUGAGAUUAAGUGACUUCUUUAUAUGGCAGAGCUCUUAUUCUUGUCUCUGUUUUCAAGAUGUGUUGUGGCCAGAGUUUUCCAUUUUGAAUUUAUUCUCUUUGAUAUUAACAUACCAGCAGAAUUACAAUCAUGUAUGUAUUGAGGUGUGCUAUAUUAACCUGGUCAGUUUUAAAAAGGAAUGGCCUUGAGCAUUUCUUGUGGUUGUGCUGCAUAUCUCUAUUAUAGCACUCUUAAGGUUUUGCUUUGAUAGCUUGUAGCUAAGUAUAAUAGCAUACAUUUAUACUUGUAUAAACAUAAUAGGUAUGUAGAUUAUGUGCAAUUCUGUCUUACUUCAAAUGAGAUUUGACCAAGAGGCUUGCCAGCAUGACUGAAUUCCA